rnacentral:rRNA from 1 species
AGAGUUUGAUCCUGGCUCAGAAUGAACGCUGACGGCGUGCUUUACACAUGCAAGUCGAGCGAGAAAGUGGACUUCGGUCCGCGAGUACAGCGGCGAACGGGUGAGGAACGCGUGGGCAACCUGUCUUGGAGUGGGGAACAACUUGGGGAAACUCGAGCUAAUACCGCAUGCCUUCCUGAGACUUCGGUCUCUUGAAGAAAGGUGGCGUUUCGGCGCUGCCGCUCCUUGAGGGGCCCGCGUCCGAUUAGCUAGUUGGUGAGGUAGUGGCCCACCAAGGCGACGAUCGGUAGCCGGCCUGAGAGGGUGAUCGGCCACACUGGAACUGAGACACGGUCCAGACUCCUACGGGAGGCAGCAGUGGGGAAUAUUGCGCAAUGGGGGAAACCCUGACGCAGCAACGCCGCGUGAAGGAUGAAGGCCUUCGGGUCGUAAACUUCUGUCAGGUGGGAAGAAGGCCUCGUAGGUUAAGAGCUAGUGAGGCUUGACGGUACCACCAGAGGAAGCCCCGGCUAACUCCGUGCCAGCAGCCGCGGUAAUACGGAGGGGGCGAGCGUUAUUCGGAUUUAUUGGGCGUAAAGGGCGUGUAGGCGGCAUGGUAAGUCAAAGGUGAAAUCCCUCGGCUCAACCGAGGAACUGCCUUUGAAACUGCCGAGCUAGAGUCGGGGAGAGGGUAGCGGAAUUCCCAGUGUAGCGGUGAAA